AAGGGUUCACCAUGGCAAUGAUACGUAGCCGACCUGAGAGGGUAAUCGGCCACAUUGGGACUGAGACACGGCCCAAACUCCUACGGGAGGCAGCAGUAGGGAAUCUUCCACAAUGGACGAAAGUCUGAUGGAGCAACGCCGCGUGAGUGAAGAAGGGUUUCGGCUCGUAAAACUCUGUUGUUAAAGAAGAACAUAUCUGAGAGUAACUGUUCAGGUAUUGACGGUAUUUAACCAGAAAGCCACGGCUAACUACGUGCCAGCAGCCGCGGUAAUACGUAGGUGGCAAGCGUUGUCCGGAUUUAUUGGGCGUAAAGCGAGCGCAGGCGGUUUUUUAAGUCUGAUGUGAAAGCCUUCGGCUCAACCGAAGAAGUGCAUCGGAAACUGGGAAACUUGAGUGCAGAAGAGGACAGUGGAACUCCAUGUGUAGCGGUGAAAUGCGUAGAUAUAUGGAAGAACACCAGUGGCGAAGGCGGCUGUCUGGUCUGUAACUGACGCUGAGGCUCGAAAGUAUGGGUAGCAAACAGGAUUAGAUACCCUGGUAGUCCAUACCGUAAACGAUGAAUGCUAAGUGUUGGAGGGUUUCCGCCCUUCAGUGCUGCAGCUAACGCAUUAAGCAUUCCGCCUGGGGAGUACGGCCGCAAGGCUGAAACUCAAAGGAAUUGACGGGGGCCCGCACAAGCGGUGGAGCAUGUGGUUUAAUUCGAAGCUACGCGAAGAACCUUACCAGGUCUUGACAUACUAUGCAAAUCUAAGAGAUUAGACGUUCCCUUCGGGGACAUGGAUACAGGUGGUGCAUGGUUGUCGUCAGCUCGUGUCGUGAGAUGUUGGGUUAAGUCCCGCAACGAGCGCAACCCUUAUUAUCAGUUGCCAGCAUUAAGUUGGGCACUCUGGUGAGACUGCCGGUGACAAACCGGAGGAAGGUGGGGAUGACGUCAAAUCAUCAUGCCCCUUAUGACCUGGGCUACACACGUGCUACAAUGGAUGGUACAACGAGUUGCGAACUCGCGAGAGUAAGCUAAUCUCUUAAAGCCAUUCUCAGUUCGGAUUGUAGGCUGCAACUCGCCUACAUGAAGUCGGAAUCGCUAGUAAUCGCGGAUCAGCAUGCCGCGGUGAAUACGUUCCCGGGCCUUGUACACACCGCCCGUCACACCAUGAGAGUUUGUAACACCCAAAGUCGGUGGGGUACCUUUAGUAACCCAGCCUUUUGUUUAUUCCCCUUUUA
rnacentral:rRNA from 1 species